rnacentral:rRNA from 1 species
CACGUAGGGCGCGAGCGUUGUCCGGAAUUAUUGGGCGUAAAGAGCUCGUAGGCGGCCUGUUGCGUCCGCUGUGAAAGCCCGGGGCUUAACCCCGGGUCGGCAGUGGAUACGGGCAGGCUAGAGGUAGGUAGGGGAGAAUGGAAUUCCCGGAGUAGCGGUGAAAUGCGCAGAUAUCGGGAGGAACACCGGUGGCGAAGGCGGUUCUCUGGGCCUUACCUGACGCUGAGGAGCGAAAGCGUGGGGAGCGAACAGG